rnacentral:rRNA from 1 species
CACGUAGGGGGCAAGCGUUGUCCGGAUUUAUUGGGCGUAAAGAGCUCGUAGGUGGCUGAGUAAGUCGGGUGUCAAAUCCCCAGGCUCAACCUGGGACACCCCCCGAUACUGCUCUGGCUAGAGUCCGGUAGGGGAGCGUGGAAUUCCUGGUGUAGCGGUGAAAUGCGCAGAUAUCAGGAGGAACACCAGCGGCGAAGGCGGCGCUCUGGGCCGGUACUGACACUGAGGAGCGAAAGCGUGGGUAGCAAACAGG